UAGGGAAUCUUCCACAAUGGACGCAAGUCUGAUGGAGCAACGCCGCGUGAGUGAAGAAGGCUUUCGGGUCGUAAAACUCUGUUAUUGAAGAAGAACGUGUGUGACAGUAACUGGUCAUGCAGUGACGGUAUUCAAUCAGAAAGUCACGGCUAACUACGUGCCAGCAGCCGCGGUAAUACGUAGGUGGCAAGCGUUGUCCGGAUUUAUUGGGCGUAAAGCGAGUGCAGGCGGUCUUUUAAGUCUGAUGUGAAAGCCUUCGGCUUAACCGAAGAAGGGCAUCGGAAACUGGGAGACUUGAGUGCAGAAGAGGAGAGUGGAACUCCAUGUGUAGCGGUGAAAUGCGUAGAUAUAUGGAAGAACACCAGUGGCGAAGGCGGCUCUCUGGUCUGUAACUGACGCUGAGGCUCGAAAGCGUGGGUAGCAAACAGGAUUAGAUACCUUGGUAGUCCACGCCGUAAACGAUGAAUACUAAGUGUUGGAGGGUUUCCGCCCUUCAGUGCUGCAGCUAACGCAUUAAGUAUUCCGCCUGGGGAGUACGACCGCAAGGUUGAAAC
rnacentral:rRNA from 1 species